CUCGCCGCAGCUUCCGGUACCAGAGCCGAGCGCCGGAAGCGCAGGCUGUCGCGACUGGCUGUCGAGUGCGCUGCCGUCCAGCCCGUUGAGAACCCAAGUGAGACCCGUAGAGCCGCAGGCCUUAGAGACGCGAGGUUUACUGCUGCACCUUACAACGAAACGAAAACAACAGAAACCAUUUUAAAAUCUCAGGGAAAAGAUCAUCGCCUUGAUUAAGGAAGAUCUCAGACCUCCCCGGCUGACGGCAGAAGUGUCUCGUGGCAGGUUAAUUGGCAUGCUACUUUAGAAAAGGCACUCGAGGGAAGGACACGACUUCUGUGUUCGGGGAAACCACACGGCAGUUCAUUCCGAGCCAGACAGGAGUGACCUAGGCCCGGGAACGCAGGUUCCAGUUGCCUUGAAGGGUGCUGAAGAAAUCCACGUUGAAGGCAGAGAACAAAGGUCGUCGUCCUCCGUGCACUGACCCUGCCGGGGUGCUGGGCUGACCACAGGUUAAGUCAAAUGGGAAAAUGGACUGCGUUCUCAGGGAGGUUGGUCAGGCCUGAGUUCUGGAAUUCGGGGGAGUACCAGGGAUUGAAUCUGGAGAGGCGUGACUACCGAGCCACACGUCCAGCCCUUUUUUAUUUUGAGACAGGGUCUCACUAAGUUGCCUUGGACCUUGUUGAGUUAUUGGGGCUGUUGUUGAACUUGAAAUCUUCCAGCCUCAAGUCUUCCCAGCUCCUGGGUGAUCCCAGGUGUGUGCCACCAGGCCCAGCAGGUUCUGUUCUUUUGCCUAAAUGUCAUGACAGGGUUAAGACAGAUGCAGAUGAUAAGAAGUAGUGGAUUUUUUUCUUAGGGGCUGAAGUAACCCUUGUCUCAAAAGCUGCCAGUGCCUUACCUCUCAGCUUGCCUUCCAUUUUGUCUCUAUUUGAGAGGAAAUAGUUGGCAACUGGUGCUUGCUUGAAGAAUUCUAUCAUAAUAGUUUAUUGUGGAAUAUUUAAAAGAAACCUCUCCAGGGUAGGGUUGAUGCACUGUUUGCAGAUAAGACAAUUGUGGUUUUUUUCAGGAAGGUUCUAAAAUAAUUGCACAAAUUUCUGUCUAUUUCUAAAUUGAAAGCUGUGGAGAGUGGAUGAGCCCCGGGUCUCCACUGAUCCUGCGGGAUCAUCCAAAGCCAAUCCCAUGAAACAUUUUUCGCCAAAAAGGCAAAGAUAUUAAUAAUCUUGACCCUCAGCUCUGAUGCUAACAGGGACAUUCCAGGACAGUGGGUUUCCUGGGUGCAGCAGGGUAUUCCUCACACUUGAUACUGAGGUUUUGAAAUUAAAAUUAAACAGUAGGAUAGCUACAAAAAUGCUUCUAGUUUUGAAACUUUUUAGUGCACAAAGAAACCUUUUUUUUUGGUUGUGUUGGGGAUUGAACCCAAGGCCUUGUGCAUGUGAGGCAGGCACUCUACCAACUCCCCAGCCCUCAAAGAAGCCUCUUGGUAACUUCAAAUUAGAAUAGACACCUUAUGAACUCUUAAUGACUUCCAAAAACUUCUGAGUGACAUUGAUUGAUUACGUCCCUCUUUAAAGUUAACUACAUCAAAGUUAGUUCACUAUCUUCAAAGGAGAUCCACCUCUGUCUCCUCAAUAACCGACUUCAGAAGCUAAAACUGCACUGACUCACGAAGACUCUGCUCUUCAAGCAGCCCAGCUUACUAUGGUCAAUCUAAAUAGAUCUAUUCAAGUACUGACUUUUCCUGCUACUCAUAUCCCUACAGGAAUUCUUUGGCAGGAAACAAAAAUUAUAAAAUGGCUUCACCUGCAACAUUCUUCUAAAUCCUUAAUGCCAUUUUCAUGAUUAGUUGCUCAGUUAAUUUAAAAAAUUCAAUGAGUACAGCAACUCUUGGGGCUAGAGCAUUCCCUUAUUAUAGUUCGUUUUACUACUGCACAACAAGAUUGGCUUUGACAAAAUUCUGCAAGUUGACGGAUUACACUUGCUAAUUUUUCUGGCCAAAUUGAUAGCUAUUACACUUUGAUAAAACUUCUAUAACAACUUUUGUUUUCCCUAAAAUUGUUUGCACUAAACCAAUUUCUCAGGCUCUAAUGGUUUUUACUAAUGGGUCCAGCUCAGGGAGGCCAGAUUAAAAUUUUUGCCUUACAACCCUUUUCAUCAGAAUCUAUAAAUAUUUACAGUGACAGUCCUUAUGCAGUGGGGGCAACUCAGGUAAUUGAAACAGCCACUAUUGGGCAUAUUAUCUGAGGUAUUAUUUUAGCUUUUUAAAUCUUUACAAAACUCUAUGCAACAAUGUUGUUAGCUUUUUUUUUUAUUGGACAUAGUUGAGCUCAUUCGGUCUUGCAGGACCUUCUGUAGAAGGAAACAAUGUUAUAGAUCAUCUUGUUGCAUCAGUAGAAUGUGUAUCACCUUAUUCCUCUCUCAGGCAUCACAUGCCCUACAUCACCAAAAUGCUUCCAGUUUGCACAAAGAAUUUCACCUCAUUAGGGAGCAGUCUUGGACCACAGCUAAACAAUACCCUCAAUGUAUUAUUCACCCCCCAGUCUUAUUAACUGGGAUAAAUGCUCGGGGCCUUAAGCCAAAUCACAUUUGACAGAUGGAAGUUCUGCAUGUACAAGAGUGUGGAAGACAACAGUAGGUACAUGUGUCUAUUGACACCUAUUAUUUUUGCUACAGCACAAAUAGGAGAAAGUGGUAAUGGUCAUUAGUUAUUGGCUGAUUUUGGGCAAACCUCAGGAAUUUGAAACUGAUAAUGGUCCAGCUUAUGCCAGUUCUUUUCAGUGCUUUUGUGUUUCUUAUAUUAUUCAUAAGACACGAAUCCCAUAGAAUACUCAAGGACCAGGAAUAGUAGAAUGUGCCAACAGAAUGUUAGAAAUUCAACUUCAGAAACAAAAAGGGGGAGAUAGGUAUUAUCCAUCUCCACAGAAUCAAUUGCAUCAUGCUCUUUUUAUUUUGAAUUUCUUAUAUUGUAAUGAGAAGGGCUGCACUGCAGCUGAGAGAUACCAAGUCUCUGGUUCAGCUUGUUCAGCAGGAAUGGUAUGGUAGAAAGAUUUACCAUCAGGAAAAUAGAAUGGGCCGGAUCCAGUAAUGAUGGGAAGAGGUUAUGACUGUAUCUUUCCAGAAGGUGCUGAGAAGCCGAUUGGGUAUCUGAGAGAGGAGUCAUCAACAUGGAUCCAAAAACUGAACACGAACCCGAAUCCAAAAGACUGAAGAUCACACCAUCAAUAAUGGUACCGACACAACAGCUACCUUUAAACAUUCAGCCAAGCAAAGGAGGCAAGAAAAAGGAAGGAGCAACAAAAAGCACACUACGCGCAAAUCCCCCGACGUGGAGUCAGAUCCAGAACUUGGCAAGCAAAGCUCAGGGAGUGAUUGAGAAGCAGGGGGUCCCUGAGACACCAGCUACCAUGUUUAUGGCAAUGCUGGCUGUUCUAAGUUGUCAGUCAAAUGCAGUCUCCUCAAAUCCAGUCUCGUCAAAUCCCAGUUCCAAUACCUCCAAGUAGACAUGCAUCGAUUACAGUUAAAAAAUAAGGUGGAGAUGUGGAGAGCAGAUGAGCCCCUGGUUGAUGUCAGCUGAUCCUGUGGUGUUGGCAGAAGUCAAGUCUGGGAAACAUUCCUUGCCAAAAAGGCAAGGAUGCAGCAGGAUGUUCCUAGCAUUGCAAAAGUAGGGUAACUGCAGAAAUAGUUCUACUUCUGUAACUUUUUAGUGUGCAGAGAAGACUCUUGGUAACUCACAAGACUUGAACAAUUUACAUUGCCCCUCUAGUUAAACUUCCUAAUUAUGAGACCCUUUAUAAUAAACUUGCAAAGCUAGUUCUGGGUCACUGUUUCCCCAUCAGAGUGUCCCAGUGUCCCAUCUAGUCCCAGCUUUACUUCAGAAUGUCUCUGUUUUUGUUUUUCUCCAUCUCCCAUCACCCCUACUUGAGGUCUUUUGUUGAUGCUGCGUGGGUCUGGCAGAGAGCUGACUUCUACAUUAAUGAAUAACUCAAGUUUGUCUAUACAGAAGCUAUAAGAAAAAAUCUCUGUUCAGAGAAAAAUCAGCUUUCCCCCUCCAUUUCUGGCAGUCCUUGUUAUAAUUCUUUUUUUUUUUUAAGGUUUUUAAAGGUAGACAUAAUACAUUUAUUUAUUUAUUUAUAUGUGGUGCUGAGGAUCGAACCCUUUGGCUCACAUGUGCAAGGCUGAGAUGUAACCCCAGCCGCCAUGCAUUAUAAUUCUGGAGCAAUUCUCUUUGAGUUCCCAAGAACCCAGACUUGCUUUUGCUAUUGACUUGGCAGAAGUUCCUGCAAAGCAUUUUUUUUAGAAAUAAUUUUAAUCUUACAAGAAAGUUGUUAUAUAGAAUUCCUGAAUUGUCUUAUUCAGAUUCCCCCCCCCUUUUUUUUUUAAAUUUAGAUACAGGGUCUCACUGAGUUGCUUAUUACCUCCCUGUUGAUGAGGCUGGCAUGAUCCUCCUCCCUCAGCUUUCUGAGCUGCUGGGAUUACAGGCAUGCUCCAUUAUGCCUGGCUAGAUACAUCAAUUUUUAAAAAAUAGUUGAAGAUGAAAAAAAUACCUUUAGUUUUAGGAUAGCACCUAGUGCCUUACACUUGCUAAAAAAGGCACUUUAGUAUUAGAGCCCCAGCCCCAGCCCAGAUUCAUCAAUUCUUAACAUUUUGACCCAUUUAACAUUCUCUUUACUGCAAGCCUACUAUUUAUAUUUAUGAAAUAUUUAAAAUUUCUGUGUGAAUUACUAAAGAACAAGGAUCUUUUUUUUUAAAAUAAAGAUGUUUGACACUGAUUAUGUUCUGAUGUCAAUCAUUCCAAUAAUGUGUUUUAGGCAGUUUUUCGUCUAUUACAGUUUAGUACACAUUGCAUAAAAGUUGCCAUGUCUUUAGCCUCUUUAACAUGGAUUUCUUAUAACAUUGAGAUGUUUCUCUUGUCACUCCAUAAUUGUUAUAAUUUACAAAUAAAAUUUAUAUUACUCCA